AUUUUCUUUUUACUUUUUGAUGUUCCAGUUUUCCUAAUAGGCGCACAAGGGAUAUAUAUCAAAAUGGUCACUUACUAUAAUCUUUUCUUAAUACAAAAUGUUAUUUUGAUUUUUACAGUUUUAACAAUUAAAAAUAAUUUUCAUUUACCAUCUUACGAAUAGAUGUACGCACAUAGCAAUGAAAAUUUCAAUUAAGCUAUUAAAGUAUUUAAAUCGUAAUUAAUGGAUUAAAUUUAUAUUAAUAAUUAUAAUACAUCAAUAUUAGAAUGUAGAUUGUUGUUGACAAAAAUAUUUAUCUUUCAAAGUACGUAAGCUUUGAGGUGAAAAAAUAUGAAUAAGUAUGUCGCAAGGAAAAUAUUAUGGAUAAUUGCCAGCAAUGAUGUCAUAGAUCACGCCUUCCUUUUUCAUUUCUUUUACAAUUACAGCACGUUGUUAAUAAUAUGUAAUAAUAUAACGAUAAUUCAGUAACAACAUUAAAAAAAAAUUUAGUCCUAUAAAUAAAUACAAAGGAAUUGGAGUUAAAUACAGAAAGGAAAUGUGGUCCCCUGACGACUUGUCAAUCGAAGAAAAUAGCGGCAAACGCUUUACUUGAAAUGCUAUAUGAACACUAUGACAUUAAAGCAGAAGACGUAGAUAUUGAAGAAUGCCUUGCUUGUACAGAAAAUAUGUGUAACGAAGUUAAAGAGAAAAGAAGCGUAAAAUCAUUUGAAGAUAUAAAAUUUGCCUUAAAGGAUCUGUAUCCUUCGGAUAUCGUUGAUAGGAAUUAUGAUGACAUCAACAGCGGUGAAAUCCCGACAUUGGAAAAAAAAAA